CUGUAUCCAGGCAAUGUGACGAGCACCUGUGGUCAACACUGGUUAAUUAGUUGUUAAACCGGUUAAAUAUAAUAUUUACAAAAUACUAUAGCCAUAUUCUAACGUAGCUAUAUAACUAUAUUCUAACGGUUACGCAUUUAAGACGAAACGCUCUUCACUGGCGGAGAUAGUUUCGAACGCCCGCCAUUUUUGUCGAAAUAUAAUGCGCCAAAUAAACUGAUGUCUUGUUUCGUUUAUUUAAGGUAAGUUCAAGCGAUGUAAGGAGUAUAAUUCAGUAACGUUUAUAACGAUCUUUUACGCUAAUAUUAUUGUUUAAAAUAACAUAGCAACAUUUUGAAGUAAUGAGCAAAUAUGUUUUGUUGUAAUACAUUUUCGCGACAAACAUACGAAAUACGUUUGUGUAGAAACACAGUUAAAUGCUUGUUUUUGACUAGCGUUCAGCUAAUACUUAAUUUAUAUAUAUAUUAAAGCAGCUUUUAAAUUUGUUUCUUAACGUUGGUAAGCUAUUUUUGUCGAGAAAAAGGAUCAAUUGUAAUGGGCCGGCAGCGAUGCAAAAGUGGGUGGGGAAGGUCAAAAACUAAAACCUUUAAAAAAGUUUUUAUUGUUUUGAGGAACGAUCUUUUAGGGGAGUGAAACAUAUAUUUUUGGCGACAUGUUAGUAGGGAGUUAACAAAUUUUACAAUAGAAUAUUAAUAUUUUUUAUAAAAAAAACUUUCACAUUUAUUCUAAAAAGUCUGUUGACAUUAUCACUUUGUUUUCAUGUCAAAAUGCUCCAGACUACCUAUUUAACAAUGUUGUGAGUUCGUUAUUAUAUCUUGUCAAAUAAAAAAUAAAAGUUCUUCAGGUUAAUAAUGAAAAGUAGUGGAUGAGAGAUCAUUUCCGGGUUACAAAUAUGUUAAUAUCUUUUUAAAUAUAGCUGCAAUCAAAACAAAGACAUUGUUGAUUGGACAGUUUCAAUAACUUCGACUCAGUCACAAAUAUACUCUUUAUGUUUAAAGACAAUAUAGCUUUUUGAUUUGAAAUCUGAUAAAAUCUUAUAUCAUAAAAUAUGCUCAAAUCCUAAUUACAGCUUCUCAUGUUGCAAUGGAUAAAUGGGUAUGAAUCAUGCUUGUUAAAUAUUGAACCUCAAAACUAAGAAGAAAUUGAUUUUUUUAACAUUUUUAAAUUUUGGUCCUUCAAUGGACUUUUGCAUCGCUGCCAACCCUUGACCUUUUAAAUAACCACUAUGCAAGCAAAUUAUGGUUAAGUGUCUGAAAUGUUGUUUCGUCUAUUUUAGCCAACCCAAAGGAGCUAACAAAUAAAUCAUCAGUCCUCAAACGAAUCAACCAGUGAAGGAGAAAAACAUUCAAAGCCGUAAAUUGUCAAAUCCAUCAGUUGGAAGAUGGAUGUCAAAGUCUUAGACAACGAAAGGCUUCCAGAGUUAAGAAAAGACCACUUCAACAAAAACAAUCAUGCAAAGAAUGACUGCAAAAAAUCUUUUCGCAGAUGCGUUUCAUCAUCAAGUGUAUAAGGAAAAGGGACCUGGGUACAGAGACUAGAUGUAAAUGUCAAGGACUGAAAUGAGCAAUUCAAUGGUUUCUUACUAAUUGUGUUUAUAUGCGUCAUAAGAAAUUAAAACUGUUAUAAAUGGA